ensembl:lncRNA
GCCCAUACCUCAGAGUUUCCCGGAGGCAGGCAGUGUGCAGUCUCCGGCUCCGUUCCCCCGUCCGCCCCGCGCACAGCCCGAGUCCUGCAGACCCAAGGUGCCAGGGUUGGAAGACUGAGUUCCCGGAUUCUGUAGCACAGUUCCCGGCGGCUGCUUACAGAGAUGCCUGGAAGGAGGGUUCGUAAGAGCGCUCAGCAGAGCACGACGCGGGCUCCGGCAGAUCCUGAAGUUGAGUGUGCCAUUCAGUUCAGGAGAAUUGGAGACAAACUGAAUUUCCGGCAGAAACUUCUGAAUUUGAUAUCCAAACUCUUCCGCUCAGGAACCUGACUUUAGAAGCUUUCGAAUGAAGAAUGAAGAGGCUCCUUUCAAACGGAAGAUUCCCCAGUAAGUGCAAACUUCAUCAAUUAGAGGAGAGACUGCCUUGUAAUGGAGACAAACAACGUGAAGGAGCUCUCACUUGCUUUCAGAUGUCCUUGGAAACGAAGAUGAAUACAUCAAAAAUGAAUUGUUGUUGGAGGUUUUCCAGAAGUCAUCGUUUGGGAUGUGAGAACAUUAAAAAAAACACCGUUUAUUUUAAAACAAGAAUGGAAGAACUUUGAAAAUAGGAAAUUAAUUAUUUAUACAUUUUGGUUUUGCUUAGAGACUUGUUCUAGUAUUUUUGCUAAAGGUUGCUGCCCAGUGUAUGAGGAGUUGACAAAUGAUUAGACUAUGGGCAGGGGCCAAGAAACAGAACAUGUUCAAUCUUUGUUUCUACUUUUGGAUGACAACUCCAGAACGAUGUAUAAUCUUUGGUUUAUAUAUAUUAUCUUGUUAAAAGUAAAAUUUUUUUCUGAGAACACUGAAUGUCAUAGUGAAUGUUGAUUUCAUAGGUCACUACAAAAUAUAAACUAAUUUGAUAGUUUCUUUUUACUCAAAAUGUAUGGUUUCUGUUCAGAUGGCCUUUUAUUAAAUGUGUUCCUAUGGGCCUUAACUGGGAAAUUAUAUGAUUUGAAAAAAUUUGAAGUGUUACUUGGUGCCAGUGGAAUUCUUGCAGGUUGAAUAUUAAAAGAUAAAGAAACAUGGGGAUUUUUGCGUAACCGGGAAUAACGAAAAAUAAGUGAUGGAUUUUUGUUUUUACUGCUGUAAUUAGAACUUAGUAAAACAAAUAUUCUAACGUAACUGUUGGUAAGAAAAUAAAUGUGUUUCUAAAGAAGUUUCUAAAAUCUGUAAAAUGUCCCUUCUCAUACUGGUCAGUGUGCAUUGUAUAACAGUGAUCUUUUAAGAGAAAUUAAGCAUGUUUUCAUUCUUGGGAUACAUAUAUAUUGUUUUAAAGGAACAGAUUGCUCAUCCAGAAUGAAAAUCCCAUUUAUAUACAUAUACAUAUAUUCAUCUGAAGAUAUAUAUAUAAAUAUAUAUAUAUGGCAUUAGAGUAAUAUGUAGUUUUUGAGAAAGUUUUCAUGAAUUCUAUUGUUUUUUUGGCCAGGCUAUCAACAAAGUCCCCAGAUAUAUAAAAAAAGAAAUAAUACUGUCAUGAUUGAUUUUCAGCAAGAAUAAUCUUAUUUAUUUUACCUAUUUAUAAUUAAAAUAUUUUUUGUUUAGUUUGAAACUAUAUAUUAAAGUUGCAUUUGGGGGUUUUGUGACAAGGGUUUCAUAACUACUUGAACUCUUACAGUAAGAAUGUUUUAAUAUAGGGUGUAGUCACUUUAGAUGAAAAAUUACCUCAGCAUCUGUUUUUCUUCAGUAUUACUUAAGCUGUUAGUUUAUUUAGUUGCAAAGAUUUUUUGGGGGGGGGUCUGCCUAGUGGCAGGUAUUUUGCCAUGGGGAUAUUUAUGGUCUGUAACUGUAUUUAUACACAUAUAUAUACAUAUAAAAUUUGAUACUGUAAGCUAUUAAAAUUACCACCAUUC